UUAACUAAAAAGUGGAAUGAACUCACGCCUGUAAUCCCAGCACUUUGGGAGGCUGAGGUGGGUGGAUCAUGAGGUCAGGAGUUUGAGACCAGCCUGGCCAACAUGGUGAAACCCCGUCUGUACUGAAAAUACAAAAAUUAGCCAGGCUUGGUGGCACAUGCCUGUCGUUCUGGCUACUCGGGAGGCUGAGGCAGGAGAAUCGCUUGAACCUGGGAGGCGGAGGUUGCAGUGAGCCAAGAUCAAGCCACUGCACUCCAGCCUGGGUGACAGAGUGAGACUCCGUCUCAAACAAACAAACAAACAAACAAACAAACAAACAAACAAACAAACUAAGGAACGAAAGUGGAAUGAAGACCUGACACCCAUGAGUAAGUCCUCAGUAAAUGUUAAGAUUUCCUCCCAAAAUACUGACAGAACCUACUCUCUGCAGCCCCUGUACUAUGAUCUAGGGAUGCACUGAUAACGAAGACCAGAUGUUAUUAUUGUUUAUACACCAGUAGGCUGUCUAGGAAACCUCUCUUCCUGAUGUUUCCCAAGGCAGAUGUCACCACGUCCUUUCCAUGAAGGAGCUACAAUUGUUGCAUAACUUUGCUCAAAUUUUUGGAUCACCCUGGGGUUUGGUUUCCCCAUAUCUUUAGUUACUUCUCCAAGCCAGACAUUCAAGAUUACCUGACUCUGAGUGACCCCAUGAUGGCAUGGGACCUCAUGGCUGACACACCUACCAAUGCCCAGAGCCCUGGAGGAAGAGCAAGCCCACUUCUGAUCACACAAUGAAAUUGGGGGCUUUCUGCAGAAGACUUUAAUCCUGCAGAGGCUGACAGUCCCAAAAACGAGCUGACAAGGAGCAAUUUAUUUGAGACUGUCCUCAAAAGAGAGAAUAAGGCUAGUUUGUAGGAAACGUGCCCAGACAUCUGAAGGCACAUUUCCAAGAUGGUACUUCCUGCUGGAGGCCCUGGGUGAUAUGAGGCCACCUCUCUGGCCUGCUUUGAGGGUCCACCUGGCACUGGGAAGUGAGGCACCAGGAACCCACCUCUCUUGCUUUUAGGCUAGUGCUGGAGUUGCGUGUUUGCUGUGAAUCACUUACAAAACUUUCUUGAGACAUCAGCAUG
rnacentral:lncRNA from 10 species